GACGAACCGUGCGAACGUUAUUCGGAAUCAUUGGGCUUAAAGGGCGCGUAGGCGGGUCGGCGCGUCGGAGCUGAAAGCCUCCGGCUCAACCGGGGAAUGGGCGCCGCGACGGCGGACCUGGAGGCGCGGCGGGGGACCUGGAACGUCCGGUGGAGCGGUGAAAUGCGUUGAGAUCGGACGGAACGCCGACGGCGAAAGCAAGGUCCUGGACGCGCCCUGACGCUGAGGCGCGAAAGCCAGGGGAGCGAACGGG
rnacentral:rRNA from 1 species